rnacentral:rRNA from 1 species
GAUGAACGCUGGCUACAGGCUUAACACAUGCAAGUCGAGGGGAAACGACGGGGAAGCUUGCUUCCCCGGGCGUCGACCGGCGCACGGGUGAGUAACGCGUAUCCAACCUGCCUCUGACUGAGGGAUAACCCGUCGAAAGUCGGCCUAAUACCUCAUGGUAUCGUCUGCGGGCAUCCAACGACGAUUAAAGAUUUCAUCGGUCAGGGAUGGGGAUGCGUCUGAUUAGCUUGUUGGCGGGGUAACGGCCCACCAAGGCUACGAUCAGUAGGGGUUCUGAGAGGAAGGUCCCCCACAUUGGAACUGAGACACGGUCCAAACUCCUACGGGAGGCAGCAGUGAGGAAUAUUGGGCAAUGGGCGAGAGCCUGAACCAGCCAAGUAGCGUGCAGGAAGACGGCCCUAUGGGUUGUAAACUGCUUUUAUGCGGGGAUAAAGUGAGGGACGGGUCCCUCAUUGCAGGUACCGCAUGAAUAAGGACCGGCUAAUUCUGUG